AGAGUUUGAUCAUGGCUCAGGACGAACGCUGGCGGCGUGCUUAACACAUGCAAGUCGAACGGAAAGGCCCUUCGGGGUACUCGAGUGGCGAACGGGUGAGUAACACGUGGGUGAUCUGCCCUGCACUUUGGGAUAAGCCUGGGAAACUGGGUCUAAUACCGAAUAGGACCGCGCGCUUCAUGGUGUGUGGUGGAAAGCUUUUGCGGUGUGGGAUGGGCCCGCGGCCUAUCAGCUUGUUGGUGGGGUAAUGGCCUACCAAGGCGACGACGGGUAGCCGGCCUGAGAGGGUGACCGGCCACACUGGGACUGAGAUACGGCCCAGACUCCUACGGGAGGCAGCAGUGGGGAAUAUUGCACAAUGGGCGCAAGCCUGAUGCAGCGACGCCGCGUGAGGGAUGACGGCCUUCGGGUUGUAAACCUCUUUCACCAUCGACGAAGGUCCGGGUUUUCUCGGGCUGACGGUAGGUGGAGAAGAAGCACCGGCCAACUACGUGCCAGCAGCCGCGGUAAUACGUAGGGUGCGAGCGUUGUCCGGAAUUACUGGGCGUAAAGAGCUCGUAGGUGGUUUGUCGCGUUGUUCGUGAAAUCUCACGGCUUAACUGUGAGCGUGCGGGCGAUACGGGCAGACUUGAGUACUGCAGGGGAGACUGGAAUUCCUGGUGUAGCGGUGGAAUGCGCAGAUAUCAGGAGGAACACCGGUGGCGAAGGCGGGUCUCUGGGCAGUAACUGACGCUGAGGAGCGAAAGCGUGGGGAGCGAACAGGAUUAGAUACCCUGGUAGUCCAA
rnacentral:rRNA from 1 species